rnacentral:lncRNA from 7 species
GGAUAGACACGCUCCCCUCUUGGGCUGAAGGGAUCACGGCCCAUCAUUUGCUUUCCUUUGGACGCUGUCUCCACCUAAGCUAACCCUUCUCACACAGGACAGCAAAACCUGCAGCAAAACCUGCUCAUGUACACUCAAUCCCUUGUGUCACGCAGCAGUUGACACACAGGAUGGGGAGAAGCUCUUUCCGUUUGGACUGGAGGAGCACGCAGAGGGAUGCUCUGACAACUGCCUCAAACGGUCACACCUGGCAGGUGGAUGACCACGCCACCCCGUUGCCAUGGAUUC